rnacentral:rRNA from 1 species
UACGAAGGGGGCUAGCGUUGCUCGGAAUUACUGGGCGUAAAGCGCGCGCAGGCGGUCCUUCAAGUCAGAGGUGAAAGCCCAGAGCUCAACUCUGGAACGGCCUUUGAAACUAGAGGACUAGGGUACGGGAGAGGUGAGUGGAAUUCCGAGUGUAGAGGUGAAAUUCGUAGAUAUUCGGAAGAACACCAGUGGCGAAGGCGGCUCACUGGCCCGUUACCGACGCUCAGGCGCGACAGCGUGGGGAGCAAACAGG